CCUACGGGUGGCAGCAGUGAGGAAUAUUGGUCAAUGGGCGCGAGCCUGAACCAGCCAAGUCGCGUGAAGGAUGACUGCCCUACGGGUUGUAAACUUCUUUUAUCAAGGAAUAAAGUGAGGCACGUGUGCCUUUUUGUCUGUACUUUAUGAAUAAGGAUCGGCUAACUCCGUGCCAGCAGCCGCGGUAAUACGGAGGAUCCGAGCGUUAUCCGGAUUUAUUGGGUUUAAAGGGAGCGUAGAUGGGUUGUUAAGUCAGUUGUGAAAGUUUGGGGCUCAACCGUAAAAUUGCAAUUGAAACUGGCAGCCUUGAGUACAGUUGAGGUAGGCGGAAUGCGUGGUGUAGCGGUGAAAUGCUUAGAUAUCACGAAGAACUCCGAUUGCGAAGGCAGCUUACUAAACUGCAACUGACAUUGAUGCUCGAAAGUGUGGGUAUCAAACAGGAUUAGAUACCCCUGUAGUC
rnacentral:rRNA from 1 species